rnacentral:lncRNA from 1 species
AACCAUUACAAACUGAGAACUUGAGUCACACAAGCCUCAACAACCUUUGCUCGAAUAUACCACCCUUCAAGACUUCAACUGAAGGAAUGAAAAACGUUCCUUCUUACAACCACAAGAGAUUAACACUUCCCUUCAAGCGUAUACAAACACUUAGCACUCAAGACAAGACUCUCUUUAAGAGUAGAUAUGAGUAAAAUAAAUAAGCUCAAGAACACAACAACUUUCGUCAAGAGUUUGGCUCUCAAAAACUUAUUAAAUGAAUAGAAAAUGAUGAAUAUGAGAGUAUGCAAGCUUUAGCAAGAAUAUAAUCAGUUGUUGUACUUAGAAGAUUGAUUUUGAGUUGUAUUUAUAGUGUUCAAAGCCUCCACAACCGUUGCCUAAUUGCCAAUCAAGAAUUGCUUAUUUUGUGCUAA